AUGUUCUGGAGCACUCCCCACCUUUUUGCCAUCUCUAGUAGCAGGGCACUGAAUCCCGGAAGGAAAGAUGCUAUAAGCCAUUGCUAUGUUUGGGACAUCGAUGGGGGCUUAAACUACGUCCCUUCCAGUUUGCAAAUACUUGCUGGACAACCUCUGUGUGAGGGGGUGGGGCAGCCACAGACAACAGAGUGCUGCCUCUGCCAACCAGGUUACAAGGAGAGAGAAGUUGGAGAUUGGGGUGGGUCCUGGCCACCUCACCAUGGAAGAGAGGGUCAGUGGGGUACAGCCCUUAGAGACCUGGACUUGCCUUGGUCCUGACACCUUCAUCCUCCCAUAGGGGAGGAAAGGUAGGACUCUGCCUGUAAGAGAAGUUACAGUGUGGAAAGAGAAGGUAGGACCCCCAAGUCAUGCACAAAUGACACUGGUUCUGACCUUAUCACUAAACUUGGAAAAGAGGGUAGAGAUCCUAAUGAUAAUGUUUAUCUAUUAGAGUCAAGGUGUUGGUACACACCCUUUAGGAUUUUAGGCCAUUCAGUCUAGUGAUUAAACACAGACUGUAAAGCCAGAUUACCUCCUCUGCUAUUCACUAGUCAUAUGACCAAGGGCAAAUAAAUUCUCUGCCUAAUUUCCCUCA
rnacentral:lncRNA from 12 species